rnacentral:rRNA from 1 species
AGCGAACGUUUGCGGCGGGCCUAACACAUGCAAGUCGAACGCACUAGCAAUAGUGAGUGGCGCACGGGUGCGUAACACGUGGUAAUCAACCCUUCAGCCUGGGAUAACGACUCGAAAGGGUCGCUAAUACCGGAUACGGCGCGAGAGGCUUCGGCUUCUCACGAGAAAGCCACGCAAGGGGCACUGAAGGACGAGCCUGCGGCCCAUCAGCUAGUUGGUGAGGUAAGAGCUCACCAAGGCUAAGACGGGUAGCUGGUCUGAGAGGAUGAUCAGCCACACUGGAACUGAGACACGGUCCAGACUCCUACGGGAGGCAGCAGUGGGGAAUAUUGCGCAAUGGGCGAAAGCCUGACGCAGCCACGCCGCGUGAGCGAUGAAGGCCUUCGGGUCGUAAAGCUCUGUGGGGAGAGACGAAGAAAGCCUGUGAAGAGCAGGCCUUGACGGUAUCUCCUUAGCAAGCACCGGCUAACUCCGUG